rnacentral:lncRNA from 1 species
AGCACACCCAAGCCUGAGACAACAGCUCUGCUAAGUGCCCUUGAGAGGGCACGGUGGGGUCAGCACCAAAGCCAGACCACUAAAGAGAAAAAGAGAGAAAGACAGGAUUGCAGAGGAGAAAUGAGAAUGGCAGAAAAAAUAAUUUUUUAAGCCAAAAGGAAUCAGAGAAGAGCAGAAGUGCCUCUAGGAUAAAGCGUAGCAGGCAGUUAGGGAAAAAGGGCUGUUAAUUACCUUGAAGCUCUGACUACAUUAGAAAGCCUCGCAAGACAGUCGUUGCUUGCACGGGCAGGUAGAGAACUUUUCCUGUCCAUUGUUCUUCUGAAUUAUAAAUCACUGACCUCUUUAUGAUUUCUAAAGGGAAAAUGACUUCAAGCUUCUUAGAGUUCCCCUAAGGCAUUCUCUAUAUUCAAUAUAAUAUGGGAAGCCCUGGGUUUGUCUUUGUAUGUUUCAUCUGCAGUGACCUGAAAUCUUCAUAACCCUCUUCCUUUCUCCACUUAUCAACUAAGGGGUGGUUGGCAAUAAGGAUGGGUGGGAGAGAAAAAAAAACAGAAUUUGAGGAGGAGAGCAUUUAAACCCUCAGACUGUGUGUUCUGUGACAUCAAAGACUGGCAACAUUCUAAAGGAAAAGCAGCUGUGAAGUCAUAAUUAUGUUCACUUCCCACUGGCAACUGGCAAGCCCUUUAUUUUUGUGCAUUCGGAACUCACCAAGAAUAAAUAAAGUCCAUUCCCUCCUUGAGGGGCUAUUCUGCCAUUCCAUCUAGGAUUUAAAAGUUUGCCAAUUCCUAAAACAUCUAUUGUUAUCAAUAGUCUUGUGUCUUUCACAAAGCGGACUUUACAAAAUAAGGAAGCUUCUGCUCAGAAAAUGUGAAAGAAAUAAUCUAUCUCAAGACCUUGCUGUUCUUGACUGUUCAAAAAUUCUUUAAAUAAAAUAUAAUAUGGAAGCUGUGCUCUGCAUGUCGAGACCAUUUCACUGUUGAGCCUUCACAGCCAGAAAACAGGCUCAAAAUAAUUAGACUUGAACAAAAUCACAUUAUUUACUUUUUGCUUUAAUAAGGAGGUGAUUAUUAGAAGAUGAACCAUGACUACCAAGAUAGCAGAUGCCAUGUCCAGCCAAAUAAAUGAGACUGAACUUCAUGGUUGUUGUUUUUACUUCAUCCCGGCAAAAGAAAUGAAAUUAAAUAUAAAAAGCAGAUGACCAAAU